AAGCAUGAAGCCCCCCUCAAGAUGAGAUUUCCCAUAGCGUAAGCUAGUAAGAUCCCUGAAAGAUGAUCAGGUUGAUAGGUUCGAGGUGGAAGCAUGGUGACAUGUGGAGCUGACGAAUACUAAUAGAUCGAGGACUUAACCA
rnacentral:rRNA from 2 species